GCCAUGCCAUGUUGAAAACCUAGUUCUUGCCUGAUCACCAAAGUUAAGCAAUGUAAAGCCUGGUCAGUACCUAGAUUGGUGACCACUUGGGAAUACUAAGUGUUGCAGGC